rnacentral:rRNA from 1 species
UGGGGAAUAUUGCACAAUGGGCGGAAGCCUGAUGCAGCGACGCCGCGUGCGGGAUGAAGGCCUUCGGGUUGUAAACCGCUUUCACCACAGACGAAGCGCAAGUGACGGUAUGUGGGGAAGAAGCGCCGGCUAACUACGUGCCAGCAGCCGCGGUAAUACGUAGGGCGCGAGCGUUGUCCGGAUUUAUUGGGCGUAAAGAGCUCGUAGGCGGCCUGUUGCGUCUGCUGUGAAAUCCCGGGGCUUAACCCCGGGCGUGCAGUGGAUACGGGCAGGCUGGAGGCAGGCAGGGGAGAACGGAAUUCCCGGUGUAGCGGUGAAAUGCGCAGAUAUCGGGAGGAAUACCGAUGGCGAAGGCAGCCCCCUGGGCCAAUACUGACGCUCAUGCACGAAAGCGUGGGGAGCAAACAGGAUUAGAUACCCGGGUAGUCC